rnacentral:rRNA from 1 species
UACGGAGGGUGCAAGCGUUGUCCGGAAUCACUGGGCGUAAAGGGCGCGUAGGCGGCUCAUGAAGGCUGUGGUGAAAGUCCGGGGCUCAACCUCGGAUCGGCCGUGGCGACUCGUGGGCUGGAGCACUGUAGAGGCGGGUGGAAUUCCGGGUGUAGCGGUGGAAUGCGUAGAGAGUCCGGAAGAACACCAGUGGCGAAGGCGGCCCGCUGGGCAGUGGCUGACGCUGAGGCGCGACAGCGUGGGGGAGCAAACAGG